rnacentral:rRNA from 1 species
GAUGAACGCUGGCGGCGUGCCUAAUACAUGCAAGUCGAGCGAACAGACGAGGAGCUUGCUCCUCUGACGUUAGCGGCGGACGGGUGAGUAACACGUGGAUAACCUACCUAUAAGACUGGGAUAACUUCGGGAAACCGGAGCUAAUACCGGAUAAUAUAUUGAACCGCAUGGUUCAAUAGUGAAAGACGGUUUUGCUGUCACUUAUAGAUGGAUCCGCGCCGCAUUAGCUAGUUGGUAAGGUAACGGCUUACCAAGGCAACGAUGCGUAGCCGACCUGAGAGGGUGAUCGGCCACACUGGAACUGAGACACGGUCCAGACUCCUACGGGAGGCAGCAGUAGGGAAUCUUCCGCAAUGGGCGAAAGCCUGACGGAGCAACGCCGCGUGAGUGAUGAAGGUCUUCGGAUCGUAAAACUCUGUUAUUAGGGAAGAACUAAUGUGUAAGCAACUAUGCACGUCUUGACGGUACCUAAUCAGAAAGCCACGGCUAACUACGUG